rnacentral:tRNA from 1 species
AUUUAUAUAGUUUAAUUUUAAAACAUUACAUUUUCAUUGUAAAAAUAAAGAAAGUCCUUUAUAAAUU